rnacentral:rRNA from 2 species
AGACCCGAAACCCGGUGAUCUAGCCAUGGGCAGGUUGAAGGUUGGGUAACACUAACUGGAGGACCGAACCGACUAAUGUUGAAAAAUUAGCGGAUGACCUGUGGCUGGGGGUGAAAGGCCAAUCAAACCGGGAGAUAGCUGGUUCUCCCCGAAAGCUAUUUAGGUAGCGCCUCGUGAAUUCAUCUCCGGGGGUAGAGCACUGUUUCGGCUAGGGGGCCAUCCCGGCUUACCAACCCGAUGCAAACUGCGAAUACCGGAGAAUGUUAUCACGGGAGACACACGGCGGGUGCUAACGUCCGUCGUGAAGAGGGAAACAACCCAGACCGCCAGCUAAGGUCCCAAAGUCAUGGUUAAGUGGGAAACGAUGUGGGAAGGCCCAGACAGCCAGGAUGUUGGCUUAGAAGCAGCCAUCAUUUAAAGAAAGCGUAAUAGCUCACUGGUCGAGUCGGCCUGCGCGGAAGAUGUAACGGGGCUAAACCAUGCACCGAAGCUGCGGCAGCGACACUCAGGUGUUGUUGGGUAGGGGAGCGUUCUGUAAGCCUGUGAAGGUGGCCUGUGAGGGUUGCUGGAGGUAUCAGAAGUGCGAAUGCUGACAUAAGUAACGAUAAAGCGGGUGAAAAGCCCGCUCGCCGGAAGACCAAGGGUUCCUGUCCAACGUUAAUCGGGGCAGGGUGAGUCGACCCCUAAGGCGAGGCCGAAAGGCGUAGUCGAUGGGAAACGGGUUAAUAUUCCCGUACUUGGUGUUACUGCGAAGGGGGGACGGAGAAGGCUAUGUUGGCCGGGCGACGGUUGUCCCGGUUUAAGCGUGUAGGUGUGUGUUCCAGGUAAAUCCGGUUCACUUUAACACUGAGGCGUGAUGACGAGGCACUACGGUGCUGAAGCAACAAAUGCCCUGCUUCCAGGAAAAGCCUCUAAGCAUCAGGUAACAUCAAAUCGUACCCCAAACCGACACAGGUGGUCAGGUAGAGAAUACCAAGGCGCUUGAGAGAACUCGGGUGAAGGAACUAGGCAAAAUGGUGCCGUAACU